CGCGAACGCUGGCGGCGCGCCUAACACAUGCAAGUCGCGGGGCAGCAGGCCCUCCUUCGGGAGGGUGCUGGCGACCGGCAAACGGGUGAGUAACGCGUGGGUAACCUACCCUCAGGAGGGGGAUAACCCCGGGAAACCGGGGCUAAUACCCCAUAAUGCCCUGUAUCACUAAGGUGCAGGGUGAAAGGGGGCCUCUGCUUGCAAGCUCCCGCCUGAGGAUGGGCCCGCGUCCCAUCAGGUAGUUGGUGGGGUAACGGCCUACCAAGCCUGUGACGGGUAGCCGGCCUGAGAGGGUAGCCGGCCACAGCGGGACUGAGACACGGCCCGCACCCCUACGGGGGGCAGCAGUGGGGAAUCGUGGGCAAUGGGCGAAAGCCUGACCCCGCGACGCCGCGUGCGGGAUGAAGCCCUUCGGGGUGUAAACCGCUGUCAGGAGGGACGAUGGGACCGUGGGCUAAUACCUCACGGUCCUGACGGUACCCCCAGAGGAAGGGACGGCUAACUACGUGCCAGCAGCCGCGGUAAUACGUA
rnacentral:rRNA from 1 species